UCAACGUUACAGUUUCAUUUGAAGUUCGACCAACGGCCAUUAGAAGGUGAUGGACAUGUUUGUACCGGUACAUUGGAAUCUUCGGACCAUUUGCUCCUCCGCCCAGCCAACUGCACUUGCAAAGGAAGGGGGCGCUAAACAGCUUCAACACUGCUUCGUGCAUUCGAUUGUCUGGAGUAUUCGAACUUCUAUGUUUUCUAUUUCAGCCGGUCUAGGUGUUUCAUCAACUUCAUCUAUUGUAAAACAAUUUGAAUUACUCGCGGGGCAAUUUGGACAGAUUUAACAAUGUGUCCAGCUGUGUGCAGCAUGUACUACAAAUUACCCUUUCUUCCGCACAUCCACUAGGAGCACCGGUUCUGUGGUGCAACUCUAUUGAGGAUGUUGCUGACGGUAGCUGGAGCGGUGCUUCAACCGGAUGAGAAUCCUGUAUGGCCUCAAUACACGGAUCAAUCGAGGAUAUUUCGACAGUGGCCAAUGGAGAUGGUUGACGUUCAGCAACGCUGGGUGCAAUCGCCGUGCGGUUGCUUUCCACAGCAGCUUUUAUAGAAACGCCAUCGAAAAAGGCUAGCGGAGGAGCCUCACGGACGUCAACGCUAGAAACUGUCUCCGUGGGAUGUUUUUCCACAGCUCUCUGCCGAUUUUCAGCUACGUCAAUUGUCAACGGAGAUGGUUCACGGACGUUAAUGUUGGACACCGGUACCGUGCAAUGAUUAACAGAUUGUGUUGUUC